AAGUCGUAACAAGGUUUCCGUAGGUGAACCUGCGGAAGGAUCAUUAAUGAGUUGUGAUGGGGUUUGAUGCUGGCAGCCAAAGAAUUUUUUUGGAUGCAUGUGCUUGCCCUGACAAUCAUAUCCCAAACACCUGUGCACAUUUUUUGAGGGAAUCAAGUUGAUUUGCCGCUUUUUGGUGAUGAUCUUGUAUCCCCUUGAAUUACUAUACACUGUCAAUAAUGCUGAACGUGCUUGUGCCGCAAGGCCAUUAAUAUAAUAUAACUUUUAACAACGGAUCUCUUGGCUCUC
rnacentral:misc_RNA from 1 species